rnacentral:rRNA from 1 species
GAUGAACGCUGGCGGCGUGCUUAACACAUGCAAGUCGAGCGAAGCACUUUGGAAAGAUUCUUCGGAUGAUUUCCUUUGUGACUGAGCGGCGGACGGGUGAGUAACGCGUGGGUAACCUGCCUCAUACAGGGGGAUAACAGUUAGAAAUGACUGCUAAUACCGCAUAAGACCACGGUACCGCAUGGUACAGUGGUAAAAACUCCGGUGGUAUGAGAUGGACCCGCGUCUGAUUAGGUAGUUGGUGGGGUAACGGCCUACCAAGCCGACGAUCAGUAGCCGACCUGAGAGGGUGACCGGCCACAUUGGGACUGAGACACGGCCCAGACUCCUACGGGAGGCAGCAGUGGGGAAUAUUGCACAAUGGAGGAAACUCUGAUGCAGCGACGCCGCGUGAAGGAUGAAGUAUUUCGGUAUGUAAACUUCUAUCAGCAGGGAAG